GUGAAUCAUCAAAUCUUUGAACGCAAAUUGCGCCUUUUUCGAAAGGCGUGUCCGUUCGAGGGCACCAUUCAACAAAUACUGUGCAGCGGUUUUUGUUGCACACGUUGAUGAGCUUUCCAAGAAUUUUAAAUUUUUGGUGGCGCCUAAUGAACAGCGUGAAGCUUUUUUUCAGUUCGAGUGUCGUAAAAUC
rnacentral:misc_RNA from 1 species